UACGUAGGGGGCUAGCGUUGUCCGGAAUCAUUGGGCGUAAAGAGCGUGUAGGCGGCCCGGUAAGUCCGCUGUAAAAGUCAAAGGCUCAACCUUUGAAUGUCAGUGGAUACUGCCGGGCUAGAGUCCGGAAGAGGCGAGUGGAACUCCUGGUGUAGCGGUGGAAUGCGCAGAUAUCAGGAAGAACACCAACGGCGAAGGCAGCUCGCUGGGACGGUACUGACGCUGAGGCGACGAAAGCGUGGGGAGCGAACAGG
rnacentral:rRNA from 1 species